GCGUGUGAGAACUACAUUUCCCAGCGACCGCGGCGCCAGGAGCGGAACCGGGAAGCGCGAAGAUGGCGGUGGAUAAGGAGCUGCUGGAGCGGGACCUCUACGGGCUGCUGGGGGUCGGCGAGAAGGCGUCCGAGAAAGAGGUGAAGACAGCGUUCCGGCAGAAGGCCCUGACCUGUCACCCGGACAAGAACCCGGACAACCCCCGGGCAGCGGAAAUCUUCCACCAGCUGUCCCAGGCCUUGGCCGUGCUCACAGAUGCAGCAGCCAGGGCAGCCUAUGACAGGGUGAGGAGGGCGAAGAAGGAGGCUGCAGCAAGGACACAGAAACUCGAUGAGAAGAGGAAGAAAGUAAAGCUUGAUCUUGAAGCCAGAGAACGAGAAGCCCAGUCCCAGGAGAAUGAAGAGGAGGAGAUCAGGAUAACGAGAUCAUUAGAAGAAGAAAUAAUCCGCCUGCGUGAGGAGGGCUCCCGGCAGCUGGAGGAGCAGCAGAGGCUCGUCAGGGAGCAGAUCCGCCUGGAAAGGGAGCAGCACAGCCGAGGCAAGCAGGAAAGAAAUGGAGCAGAAGGCAAAAUAACUCCUAAGCUCAAGCUCAGGUGGAAAUGCAGGAAGGAAGAUGAGACAGGAGGGGGAUACUCCAAAGAUGUGCUGCUGCAGAUCCUGCAAAAGUAUGGUGAUGUGCUCAAUUUGUUGAUCUCCAGCAGGAAGACUGGGAGUGCAGUGGUGGAAUUUGCCACGGUGAAGGCAGCUGAGAUGGCUGUGAAGAAUGAAGUGGGCCUGCUAAAUAACCCCCUGAAGAUUUCCUGGCUGGAGGGCGAGCCCCAGAGCCGCCCCAGCACCGUCCUCCCUGACAGCACCAGCCAUUCCAGGACCUCACAGGAGGAUAAAUCCACUGCUGGUGCUGUAUCAGGAGCCUACUUGGAUGCUUACCUGCUUCCAGGCUGGGAAUGCCACCUGCACUGGAGUUGAGGGAAAAGAAACCCACAAGGAGGAAGAGAAAAAACGGAGGAACAGCUUUGAGCUUUCACAUCCAAACGUGGUGGGAGGAGAAGCCCCAGUUCCUGUCUCUCAGCCCUCAAAGCUUUGGCUUUGGGGUGCAAUGCUGCUGCCUCCUUGCAGGCUGCCUGCUGCUCCACAAAUGAUCCAUGACAAAUCCCUGUGUGUCUCUGUCCCACAGUGUCACAUCCCCAAAAUAAGUCCCAAAAAAUGCCAGUCUUCCCUGAGGAGGGGAUGUGCAGUCCGGAGUGGGAAAUUCCCGGGGUGGAGAGUGGAAAGUUGCCCAUGAGACAGAAGACUGUGCUCUCACCUGAACACGGAGCCCAUGAGCUCUGCUCCAGAGGAAUCCUUGGCAAGGACAGGGAUGGUCUGUGGUGGGCGAGGUGAGGACAACAAAACAGGCCACACACAACAGCACAUCCUCGAGGAGUGAUAGCCCCAGAUCCACUUUGAAGGACAGGAAGGGGUCAGCCAGGUCGGGAAGAGUGGUGCUGUUUGGGAGACCUGCCUCUGAAGUGCCAUGGUCUGUAGCCUGGUCCUUGUGCGUUGGAGUGGCUUUGUGGUACGGAGCAGCGUCGGAAAAGGAGAGGCGUCAGUGGUGUCGGAACGGGACUACGAGAGCCUGGUGAUGAUGAGGAUGCGCCAGGCAGCCGAGAGGCAGCAGCUCAUCGAGCAGCUCCAGCGGGAAGAUGAGGAGGAAAAGUCUCACACUUAGCAUGAGAGUAUGGAUUCUCCCCACCCCUCCGUCCCCCCCAGAGCUGUUUCUUAAUUUAAGUCAAUAAACCUCCUUUCUUUUUAAA